UGCAACGCUGGAGACUGAAGUCUUCUGUUUACACACAGAACAGGUACAGCAUUGGUUUUGGAAGCGCAAGCUUCUCCAGAGCACUCUGCCUUAGCCCAGAGCUGAAAGAACAGCCUUAAGGUGUGACAAGGGCGUGAACUUUCCAUGUCUGUUGUGCCCUUGCCCUCU
ensembl:misc_RNA